rnacentral:rRNA from 1 species
UGGGGAAUAUUGGACAAUGGGGGGAACCCUGAUCCAGCCAUGCCGCGUGUGUGAAGAAGGCCUUAUGGUUGUAAAGCACUUUAAGCGAGGAGGAGGGUACUGGUAUUAAUACUACCAGCUACUGGACGUUACUCGCAGACUAAGCACCGGCUAACUCUGUGCCAGCAGUCGCGGUAAUACAGAUGGCGCGAGCGUUAAUCGGAUUUACUGGGCGUAAAGCGUGCGUAGGCGGCUAAUUGAGUCGGAUGUGAAAUCCCCGAGCUUAACUUGGGAAUUGCAUUCGAUACUGGUUAGCUAGAGUGUGGGAGAAGAUGGUAGAAUUCCAGGUGUAGCGGUGAAAUGCGUAGAGAUCUGGAGGAAUACCGAUGGCGAAGGCAGCCAUCUGGCAUAACACUGACGCUGAGGUACGAAAGCAUGGGGAGCAAACAGG